UCCCUGGAGGACUAGUGGUUAGGAUUCAGCGCCGCCCUCGCCGUCGCAGCCCGGGUUCGAUUCCCAGCCAGUGAG